CUUCUUCCAAAUGUUAUGUAGUUAAGAAGGUGCUGAUGCUUAAAGUUUGCUAGAGUCUUUGCAAGCAGUGGGCCACAUUCUGAGAGGUGCUGAGCUAAUAGUAAUGAGAAGUUGUCAGGCUCAGUAUCUCCCUUAGGACUUUGCCCAUUGUUAUUGUAUUAUUUAAGAAUACUCUAAGGCAGGGGUGGGCAAAUUACAGCCCAUGGGCCUGAUCCAGCUUGCCAGACGUUUUAAUUCGGUCCUUGAGCUUCCUCUGGGGAGUGGGGUCUCGGGCUUGUCCCACUCCAGCUGUGGAGCAGGGUCGGGGGCCGCUGCUCGCGGCUCCCAGAAGCAGCAGCAUGGCCCCUCUCUGGCUUCUAUGCGUAGUGGCAGCCAGGGGGCUCCACUCAGCACGGUGCCACCGCACGAAGCGAACCACAGCCAAUGGGAGCUGCAGGGGUGGCGCCUGAGGACAGGGCAGAGCGCAACAGAGCCGCCUGGCUGCAUCUCCGGGUAGGAGCCAGAGGGGGACGUGCCGCUGCUUCUGGGAGCCACGUAAGUAGAUACAUGGAUUUGCAUGAAGUUCAGUGGAUGGGAUGCUUCUGGAUGAGACUUUAAAACUAAGGUACUGCAUCUGUGUUGUCGCAUGGGUGUACCCUAGGAGGAUGACAAAACCAUGGCUGGGAUUAUUUGGUUGGGGUUGGUCCUGCUCUGAGCAGGGGGUUGGACUACGUGACCUCCUGAGGUCUCUUCCAACCCUAAUCUUCUAUGAUGACAGUCUGUCUGUGUGAUGCCACUACCUGGCAAGCUACCUGAAAUCUGAGAUGGCAGGAGGCAGUCUGGGAACUAUUGGUGCCAAGAGACAGAGGCUGCCAUUGCUGGCUGGGGUUAAGCAUGGUCUUCAAUACAGCUAGAAAAUUCCUGCUGCCCUUUGCCUGAACACCCCUCCUCAUGGUCUAGCCAAACCCAUUUCCAGAAGCCAGCCCUUCUCCAUGAAGAAGAACCCUGCAGUGGUUCCCAUCACCUUCUGGGAGAGGAGACAAGAAGAUUCCUGAAGACUUUGUUUCUUUCCCACUCAGAGUGGAAGAACUUCCAGUGCUUUCCUUUGUACCAAUGCUGUCUCAUAGUUUUCCUGCAGCUAACAUGGAGCUCCUUUUAUCUCGGCCACAUGUACCUGUGGUACUGGAAUUAUGGGACCCAUUCCCUGGUACCAUUGGUCAUGUUUUACCCCAGAGUGGUUAGAGAAUAAACCACCUCUUCCCUUGCCAGCUAGGGGCAUUUCUCCCUUUUGGCAGGAAGCUCUAAGCAUUUGCCUCAUUCCUGCCUAUCGGGUAGAUGUAUCAGUUGCCGGGGGAGUAUUCAUUGUCAAUCAGAAAAAUCAACUACUGUAUGAAACCAAGAUCUUAUGAUGAUGCAAGGCAGAAGUACAUUAGAACUCCUUCCAGGUGGAUUAACUCCAAGGGAAGUACACGCAUCACAGAGGACUGAUUUGGCAGGUAAACAGUUUGGGUCCAAAAUUUUGAGAUCAAUUUAUGGGCAACCCCUCAAGCAGACUGUUUCAUCUCUAGAGCCAAUGCGGAACAUCCUCUUCCCCCAGGUUCUGCCCAAUAUAUUUCAGCACUCUCACUUAGGUCAGAGGUCUUCAUACAGUUUUUUGGGGUGAGAGGAUUUUUUUCUCCUGUACCCCCAAUUCUCAAAACCAUAAGGUAAAUUAGGGAGGAGAGGGCCAUCUGAACAGUCUGCUGGCUGCCCGGUUUGCCAUGGUUUUCUGGACUCCAGGUACCUGACUAUAUGGUUUGGCAGAAUCAGCUCAUUCAGGCACAGAAACAAUCUGCUGGUAUUUUAUUUUUAGUCUUCUAUAAUACAGUCCUUACCUUCAGCCAUUCAUGAUCCUGUUACACCUCUCUUACAUCUUAAUUAAUUAUAUCCUAUUAUGGUGUAUGAAAGCAUAAUUCUAUCAACAAGUCUCAAAUAAACAAUGUAAAUCAA